AUUUGUGAGAAAUUCAACCAAAUGAACAGAAGGAUGAUUAGACAGGUAGCGUUGCAACUUAGGUACGUUUAUUGUUGUGGAUGAUUUGUUAGGGUACAGUCUGUUGGGGCACAUUGUUUUGGCAUGUGCUCUAAAACACAUAGAGCAUACGUGCAACAGCCUACAAGCACUAUAGCUGCAUCCUCCCGUAUUAAAGUUGUUGCAGACUUGUGCUUUACCUAGAAAAACAAUAGGCCUACCAAGUUUGUCCCUCACUUCCCUCUGUGAUGUAUUUGAUUGGUAUCCGGUAUUGGCGCUACUGGUAGAAGAGGAUGCUAGGUUUUCAGGACAAAAGUUUACCGAAUGAGCUGCAGAAGAGCAUAUAGCACAGGACGGGGUUUUAAGGCCUGCAAAAUGCAUUAGAAAUAAUUCUGUAUCUAGCUGAGCCCAAUCGGUAACCGUAUUAUACUGGGAGAGAGAUGCAGCGGAUCUGGAAG